AUUGACAUUAUUGAAAUCUGCGUGCUUGCACAAGAACUGAUUAUUUGAUUGGAUUCUCCAUCUAGUGGCGAAAGGGUGAGUAACACGUAGGAAUCUGCCUUUAAGACUGGGAUAGCAGUUGGAAACGACUGCUAAUACCGGAUACGAUGUAAAUGAUACGUUAUUUAUUAUUGAAAGGAGCCUUUAAAGCUUUGCUUAAAGAUGAGCCUGCGGCGUAUUAGCUUGUUGGUGGGGUAAUGGCCUACCAAGGCAACGAUGCGUAGCCGACCUGAGAGGGUGAUCGGCCACAUUGGGACUGAGACACGGCCCAAACUCCUAUGGGAGACAGCAGUUAGGAAUAUUCGACAAUGGAGGAAACUCUGAUCGAGCAAUGCCGCGUGAAGUGAUGACGGUCCUUUGGAUUGUAAAACUCUUUUAUUUGGGAAGAACGACUAGUAUAGGAAAUGAUACUAGAGUGACGGUACCUUUUGAAUAAGCCCCGGCUAACUACGUGCCAGCAGCCGC
rnacentral:rRNA from 1 species